UUCACACUAGAAUCCAGCGUGACAGUACUGGCACGUUCAGUCUGCAGAGCCAGUACAGGUUAAAUCUUGUGCAGGAAGACCAUAAUACAGAGUGUCUCUGUCAGGUUUCUCACCCGGACUGGCCUGUGAAGAACAGCUCAGCCAUCACUCUCAAUGUCAGCUAUGGACCCAGCUCUGUGACCGUGACUUCCUCAGCUCCUGUGAGCAAUGGCUCAGUGUGGGCCGAAACAGGCUCUUCUGUGACCUUUGUCUGUGCUGCUGAAGGGAACCCCAUGCCUGAAAUUAGGUGGCUAUGGGGAAACUUAUCAGAGUCGCACGGAGGAGACGAGCUACUCAUAGCUAAUGUGCAGAAGAAAGAUGAGGGGCUUUACAUUUGUGUGGUAUGUAACCAGUAUGGAGAGGAGAAUACCAGCAUGCACUUACAGGUGUCAAAGAGGACCUGGACUAGUAAGUACUUUCAGCUGACUCAAGUAAUUUCAUUUAAGGUGCAAAUACUAAUUUAACAUAGUUAAACAUACUAAGUGAGCAGUUCAUUAGGUACUUCAUUAGGCUUGUUCAUGCAAACAGUAUGCUUCUCCAAACUGCGAACCAUGUGGCUGCAACUGAAUACACACACACACACACACACACACACACACACACACACACACACACACAGAGUCAGGGCUCUGAGCUUCCAUUACUGUUCGACUCAUAACAAGUAAAACACCUGAUCCAUGCAAUUUUGAACAUGAUGUGAGGUGUCAGACAUAGUGUAUCAAGAUUUCAGAAACAGCCACCCACCUGAUUUUUUAAUAUGCUACACAUUUCUGUGCCAAAAUCACCUUGCUAAUGAAAGGAUAAAAAUGGCCAGACUCGUUUAAGCUAACACAAAGACCAUAAGUGCAGCUGAUUUCAGCAGGAGUGGAUAGAAGGCUUAUUUCUGCAAUGCAAAAUUUCAGACUUAGGUGAACUGGCAUCUCUAAAUUACAAGUUAACCCUGACUUUGUACUGGAGGAGUGACUGGAAGAUGGAUGGAUAUUGCAUGAUCUUUUUCAAAGCACCACUGUCACUGACAUGUUAAAAAGUCAGGUUGCAGGUUUCUACUGUCAGACUGAAAGCAUGAAAUCACUAUGAUUGAUUAAUGAUGAACAAGUAUGGGACCAGUAUGUAAUAAACACUCACUUACUGGUUAAUUAAUGAAUUAAGUAAGCAUCUACAUUAUUCAUGUCCCCUCAAGUAAAGUGUGACCAAUUCUUUUCAAGUGCAUGUAAUAGCUUGGUGUUAUCCAAUCAGGUUGCAUUAUGGAUAAUAAAGUGUUUAGUGUAAUAAUGCAAAUGGCUUCAGUGCCCAAAGAUUUUGCAUUUAACUGUAAACAGGAAAUCACCAAGCCAGAAAACCAUUUGCUAUUAAUCUGUAUUAUCCUACAAUUUCUAGGAAGGCUUGAUCCUCUCUACAGCCUGGCCAGUGUCUUUGUAGUCCUUGUUGUAGCUGUCGUCUUUGUGGCAUGGAGGAUGAAGAAAAAGGCACCUGGAAGUAAAGAUGAUCGCAUCUCUAUCUAUCUAUCUAUCUAUCUAUCUAUCUAUCUAUCUAUCUAUCUAUCUAUCUAUCUAUCUAUCUAUCUAUCUAUCUAUCAUCUAUCUAUCUUUCUAUCUUUCUAUCUAUCUAUCCAUCUAAUCUGCCUGUCUAACGAUCUGCAGCAGCUAGCUGCCUAGCUAUUCUCCAAAGCAAGACAAAUGCCAUUUCAUUUAUAUUACACCUAUACACCCACUCUUGUACUAGUGGUCCAUGUUACAUCAAAAGUGAAUGAGAAUGAAUACAUCGCUAACAUCUGUGCCAAACUUCACGUUGCCUUUGUGUCUGUUCACAGCACCUUGCCCACACAGCAAUCUAUGCCGUGCUGGAUAAGAUGACAAAAACGCUUCAAGAGCACAGGACAGUUUUGGAUGAAUCACAUGUUUUAUACACAGAGAUCACAGCACCUGUUCCAUCCAGAAAUGUGGAGAGCGCGAACUUUAUGUCCUUAUACAGUGUAUAAUAUGCAGUGUAGUUGGGGCCAAGAGACAAAAACGUCCAGAGAUUCAACAGCAGCUCACAGAGGGAGUGAGCAGUGUUUACGUUCUGGCUGAAAGUCCAGUGAGUGACCUGUGGA